rnacentral:rRNA from 1 species
UUUAAAUUCCAUACUACGUUGAAUACACCGGUUCUCGUCCGAUCACAGUAGUUAAGCAAUGUCGGGCGCGGUCAGUACCUGGAUGGGUGACCGCCUCACACUUCGUGACGUUGGCA